AUUGAACGCUGGCGGCAGGCCUAACACAUGCAAGUCGAGCGAGCGUCAGACGGGUGAGUACUGUCUGGGAAAAUGCCUGAUGGAGGGGUAUAACUAAUGGAUACGGUAGCUAAUACCGCCUACCAUCAUAUUAGCCCAGAUGGGAUUAGCUAGUAGGUGGGGUAACGGCUGACCUAGUCGACGAUCCCUAGCUGGUCUGAGAGGAUGACCGGCCAAAUGGGAACGGAGACGCGGUCCAGACGCCUACGGUAGGCAGCAGUGGGGAAUAUUGCACAAUGGGCGCAAGCCUGAUGCAGCCAUGCCGCGUGUAUGAAGAAGGCCUUCGUGUUGUAAAGUACUUUCAGCGGGGAGGGGUGACCCGCAGAAGAAGCACCGGCCAACUCCGGGCCAGCAGCCGCGGUAAUAC
rnacentral:rRNA from 1 species